CCUACGGGUGGCUGCAGUGAGGAAUAUUGGUCAAUGGGCGGAAGCCUGAACCAGCCAAGUCGCGUGAGGGAUUAAGGCCCUGCGGGUCGUAAACCUCUUUUGCCGGGGAGCAGUGGUCCGGACGCGUCCGGACCGGGAGAGUACCCGGAGAAAAAGCAUCGGCUAACUCCGUGCCAGCAGCCGCGGUAAUACGGAGGAUGCGAGCGUUAUCCGGAUUUAUUGGGUUUAAAGGGUGCGUAGGCGGGCAUUUAAGCCGGCGGUCAAAUGUCGGGGCUCAACCUCUUCGAGCCGGUGAAACUGGUUUUCUUGAGUGAGUGAGAAGUAUGCGGAAUGCGUGGUGUAGCGGUGAAAUGCAUAGAUAUCACGCAGAACUCCGAUUGCGAAGGCAGCAUACCGGCGCUCAACUGACGCUCAUGCACGAAAGUGUGGGUAUCGAACAGGAUUAGAUACCCUAGUAGUC
rnacentral:rRNA from 1 species